CGGUCCGGAGCGAGCUGUGGGUCCGGGAUGGUGGGCACGGGGUUGUAGUAAAGUGGAGUUGGUCUCUACUUUGGGUUUCGGCUCCACUGUGGGAAUCGGCCUCUCCUCUUCCUGCCCACGGAACAGUGAGAAUCUGUCAGCGCCUCACCGCACCGGCUCUCUGCCUCAGACUCCAGUAGCUGAAGUGAAGUUAACUGGACUACAGUCACCUGCUUUUGAUCUUCCACCCUUCUUCAACAAUGGUUUUCAACUCCACUGGGACCUUUCUGUAACAAAGAAGUCUCUCGUGUCAAAGUGAAAACAGAUCUCUACAAAGUGCUCUAAAUUAAUUACAGAUAUAAAACACAAUAUAAUUAUCUGUAUAUGUAUUCACCCCCUUUAAUAUAACACACCAAAUCAUCACUGGUGCAGCCAAUUGGUUUUAGGACUUACAUUAUCAGUUAAAUGGAGAUCACCAUGUGCAGUCAAGGUAUUUCAAUUGAUUGUAAUAAAAUUACACUAGUCAGUACCCUGGCAAAAACUACACCAUGAAGACAAAAGAACACUCCAAGCAGCUCUGCAAAAAGCUUAUUGAAAAGUACAAGUCAGGAGAUUGAUACAAGAAUAUUUCCAAGUCACUGAAUACCCUUGGAGUCAAGUUCAGUCAUAGAAACAAAAAAACCUACAGCACAAUACAAGCCCAUCAGUCCACAAUGUUGUGCCGAACAUGUCCCUACCUCAGAAAUUACCAGGCUUACCUAGAGCCCUCUAUUUUACUAAGCUCCAUGUACCUAUCUAAAAGCAUCUUAAAAGACCCUAUCGUAUCUGCCUCCACCACCAUUGCUGGAAGCCAAUUCCACGCACUCACCACUCUCUGAUUAAAAAAACUUACCCCUGACAUUUCUUCUGUACCUACUCCCCAGCACCUUAAACCUGUGUCCUCUUGUGGCAACCAUUUCAGCCCUUGUAAAAGUCUCUGACAAUCCACACGAUCAAUGCCUCUCAUCAUCUUGUACACCUCUAUCAGGUCACCUCUCAUACUCCUUCAUUCCGAGGAGAAAAGGCCAAGUUCACUCUACCUAUUCUCAUAAGGCAUGCUCCCCAUUCCAGGCAACAUCCUUGUAAAUCUCCUCUGCAACCUUUCUAUGUCUUGCAUAUACUUCCUGUAGUGAGGCAACCAGAACUGAGCACAGUACUCCAAGUGGGGUCUGACCAUGGUCGGGUAUAGCUGCAACAUUACCUCUUGGCUCCUAAAUUCAUUCCCAUGAUUGAUGAAGGCCAAUACAUCAUAUGCUUUCUUAACCGCGGAGCCAACCUGCGCAGCUGCUUUGAGUAUCCUAUGGACUCGCACCCCAAGAUCCCUCUUAUCCUUCACACUGCCAAAAGUUGACCUACCCCGACAUGGUCCAUUCCCUGUAUGUUUGUAUGCCUGUCUUAAUACAGGACUCCCUUACUCUUAUACUCAACACCCUGACCGGUGGGGACCAGCAUUCUGUACAACUUAUCCCGUUGUGUAGCCAUGUUCAGUGAGCUAUGUGCCUGGAUCCCAAGAUCCCCAAGAUCACUCUUUUCACCAAUGCUGUGAAGGGGUCAAUCAUUAACAUUAACCUUUCUUCUUUCAUUUGACCUCCCAAAGUACAAUACCAUAUUCCCUCCCAGAUUAAGUUCCUUCUGCAACUUCUCUGCAUAUGUUUGUGAUCUAUAUCCCACUGUAUGCAUUGAUCAAUAUUUAUACUGUCCACAAUUCCACCAACCUUGCUGUCACAUGUAAACUUGUAAACCACCCAUCAACAUUUUCCUCCAAACAUCGAUAUAUAUCACAAACAACAUAAUUCCCAACACCAAUCCUAGUGGAUCACCACUGCACAUUGACUUACAGCCCUAUAUAGCCUUCUAUGAGGAAUCCAUUUCUGAAUUGAAAUUGCAAUUUAUAUUGAAUCCCACUAAGGUCAGUAGAGAUCAUGUCCACUGUCUUGCCCUCAUCAAGCACCAGGAUGUUGGGACUGAUUAUUUUUACAUUGUAUGUCAGUGAUUUCUUUGCCCAUUCUCUUCAUCUGUCCUUCCUUAUUUCCUCAAAAAUACCUGCGCCUCCACCUGUCUCUUAUAACUAUAUUACAAUCACAGCACGGAAACAGGCCAUCUGGGCCCUUCUAGUCCGUGCUGAAUGCUUACUCUCACUUAGUGUCACCAACCUACACUCAGCCCAUAAUCCUCCAUCCCUUUCCUGACCAAAUACCUAUCCAAAUUGAUGAUGGAAUUAAUGGAUUUGUUGCAAAAUUUGCAGAUGAUAUGAAGAGAGAGGUGGAGCUGCAGAUAUUUUUGAGGAAAUAGGGAGGGACAGACGGAUGAAGAGAAUGGGCAAAGAAGUGGCAGAUGGAAUACAGAACUGGGAAGUGUAUGGCCAUGCAUUUCGGUUGAAGAAAUAUUAAAAGUUGACUAUUUUCAAAAUGGAGGGUAGAUACAAAAAAAUACGCCAAAUGGCUUAAUUCUACUCCUGUAUCUUAUAACCUGUAUCACCACCACCAAAACCUCGAUCAAUUUUGUCAAGUGUGAUCUGCCCAAACAAAACCAUGCUGAUUGUCCCUAAGCAAGCCAUGCCUUUUCAAAUGUCGAUAAAUCCUGUACCUCAAUUUCAAACUCGGAUCUGCUAGUCUUUAAACAACUCCCGCAUGUCAGAUGUGGACUUGUCUGACAGUGGCUGCUCCCAAUCAAUGCCCCUUGACUUCUGUCUUACUCCGUCCUAACUUGCCCUCUUGCAAUUCAGUACCUUCAUACAAGAUCUGCUUUUAUUCUUCCUCAUAACUAAGAAAAAAAAUAAGAUCCCAGAAUAUUCACUGACUCUUCACUGUCAGCUUUCCUGGCUCAUUUUCCAAAACUAAUUCCUCCUGUCUGUUCUCUCCUCUUGUUGGGCUCUAUACAUAAUGUUUCAAACACUCUUCAGAUUCAAUGAAGAAAUAUUGUGCAUCUUAGUAUUAAGCAAGUUUCAAUCAAUUCUAGGGAAGCUAAAGUCCCCCCUCUGGUUAUUGGGGUCCAGUAUGAUAAUCCUUUCAGUCUAACUGCAUUUUGCAUCUGUAAGUGAGCCUUCCAGUUUGUUGUGACAUUCCCAGUGGGGUAACCUCUGCUCCUGUUAAACCCACCUGACCAGAACUCAAGUGUAAAGCAAUGAAACCCAGGAAUGUUGAGCUGCCAGCCCUGUCCCUCCAACAACAGAAUACUUCUAAUGUUGAAAUAAACUCAUUUCAGCCCAUCAGUCCCAGCAUGUUUAUUAGCUUGACAUUGGCUCUCGUUCUUUUCAGACUGUCUUGUCAUACAUACUUUCUCCCACUUGCUACUCCAGUGCAAACUUUGCCAAGUGACACCAUCAAACCUCCUGGUGAGGAUAUUGGUUCCCCUCCUGUUCAGAUGCAAAUAGUCUUGUUUGUCCCGCUCUCCCACCUGCCUGGAAGAGAGCCCAUUGAUUCAUGAAUCUGAAGCCCUCACUCCUGCAUCAGAUCAUCAUCAACAUAUUAAAGUGCAGGCAUUAUCGAAUUCUCACCACACCAGCACAUGGUUUGGGGCAUAAUUCCGAGAUUGCAAUCCUGGAAGUCCCACUUUUUUUCUCGAGUUCGCGAAAAUCACUUUGUAGGACCUCAUCCCUGCUUGUUUAACCCCUUCCGUGUAGCAGGAAGAAAGCUCCCCUCCUCAAAGUACCCGUUCCACCUUUCCUUCGAAAGGCCUUGCAGCUGAAGCCCCACCCACCUCGCACCAGCUCCUCAGCCACCGCUUUACCUGGGGUUAAGAAGGCGCCAGAGGUGCGGUCUAUAUGUCCUUAUAUCUGCCUUAUCCUGUUCCUUUAUGUGACCGGACUUUCAUUUCCCUGGCGACCCAGAGGAACAAUUGUUCAAAUGAAUUAACCCUCUCAUCACUGGAAGUGACUGCCCACCAACUGCUGUGUGUGAGGGCGCUCGCACUGGUCAUAGGGUCUGGGAGGGACAGACCGAGGUUCUCGAGUAUUUGCGAAAUGGAAAAUCACUUCCUAUAAUUUAAAGCAGGAGAAUCAGCAAAUUCCCAGAAAUCCUCCAGACUGUACGUGUGUGUGAGGGAGUUUAUUUUCGGCUUGAGCGCUGUGUUGCAGAUAAACCGUUGGAAAUUGGCGGGUGUUGUAAAGUGAAGGCGGAGCUGGACGAUGAGCAAACAGGAGGAAAUCUGCAGAUGCUGGAAAUUCAAACCACACACAAAAUGCUGGUGGAACGCAGCAGGCCAGGCAGCAUCUCUAAGGAGAAGCACUGUCGACGUUUCGGGCCGAGACUCUUCGUCAGGACUGACUGAAGGGAAAGAUAGUAAGAGAUUAUAUAUAUCUCCCCUCCCCGCCUCCGUCUCUCUGCGCGUUUCUCGGGCAGGUCGGGGCGCUGUGUAUAAAAGGAGACAGCAGCAGUCGCUUUGUCACUGAGCAGCGAUCUGAAUGAAGCAGC